AUACGGAGGGUCCAAGCGUUAUCCGGAUUCAUUGGGUUUAAAGGGUCCGCAGGCGGGGAAAUAAGUCAGUGGUGAAAGCCUACAGCUCAACUGUAGAACUGCCAUUGAUACUGUUUUUCUUGAGUAUAGAUGAAGUGGGCGGAAUAUAUCAUGUAGCGGUGAAAUGCAUAGAUAUGAUAUAGAACACCGAUUGCGAAGGCAGCUCACUAAACUAUUACUGACGCUCAGGGACGAAAGCGUGGGGAGCGAACAGGAUUAGAUACCCUAGUAGUCC
rnacentral:rRNA from 1 species